rnacentral:lncRNA from 1 species
GAUAUUGUCAUCUUCCAACAUUGAUCUUGGCUCCAAGCAUUGGAAGAGAGUCGGUGUUUCCGGGCGAUAUCUUGGAGCUAGAAGUGUCUGUCUCUUUGGUUUGAAAGCCAGAGGAAGUGGUGAUAUCAUCAUAUCUCCAGUCAGUUAGGUAGCCUGGCUUGGAAGUGACAUCACUGACCUCAACAUCCCCCGACAACAUAGCCACCACUCGUGACAUUGGUGGUCUCAAGGAAUGAGAUGCUUGUGUGCAUAACAGAGCAACGCCAAUCACUCGUUUCACUUCUUCAACAUUGAAUUCACUUAGCCUAUCAUCUAUUAGUUCAACUUCACGGCCUUUCUCGUGUAGAUUCCAUGCCUGUGUCACCAGAGAUACACAUAGGAUCACUGGACUUUGUUAAACCAUAAAUGACUAUAGCAAAAAUGAGGACGUACCCAUUCAAGAAGAUACUUUUUAUCGUCAUCUAAGACCUCAUCAGAGUUUGGCCUUCCACUAACUAGCUCAAGAGCCACAACACCAAAUGCAUACACAUCUGUUUUCUCCGUUAGAUGUCCACGCAUUGCAUACUCUGGCGCAAGAUAUCCACUGCAUCGAUAUAGUAAAGGCUCAGUACGUUCUUAUUGAAAUAAAGAUGCCCCUCUCUCUCAAACUCUCGAUGCCCCUCUCUCUCCAACCCCAGUUCAUAUAUAGAGAUAAGCAUAAAAGAUAACUGAACAAUAGUUACUUUUAUUAUGACCUAUGGUUAUUUGCACUUAUCUAGUAAAGAGCCCAUAAACUUUUACCAUUUGAACCUUUUGCCUCUAUCACCACAACACUAAAAUGUGUUAAAACAUCCAAACUAAUGUGUGUUAUGGGGAGACUUACAUGGUCCCUGCAACUCCGGUACUUAUGUGAGUUUUCUUGUCAUGGUAUAGUUUCGCCAGCCCAAAAUCAGAAACUUUUGGAACCAGUUCGGAGUCAAGCAAAAUGUUGCUGGCCUUCACAUCCCUGUGUACAAUGCGAACCCUCGCCUCCUCGUGGAGAUAGACUAGACCUCUGGCUACUCCCAAGCAUAUCUCGAAACGGGUUGACCAAUCAAGAUGUAUACUCUUAUCCCCUGCAUCAAUCACAAGUACACUAUGAGUGAUUUUAGCUUGGCAGAAUCAUGUAUGUUAUGUCUGUUCAUUACCAAAUAGUGCCUGAUCAAGACUUCCAUUAGGGAGAUACUCAUACACGAGCAAACGAUGAUCUCCUUCAAAGCAGCAGCCGUAAAGUGUCACUAAGUUGCGAUGUAGAACUGUAGAAAUUGUUACAAUUUCUGCAACAAAUUGUCCUUUCCCUUGCCUGGAUCCAACCGACAACAGCUUCACAGCUACCUCUCUUCCAUCUUUAAGGUUUCCCUGUUGAAUGUAUAAAAAGGUAUUACACAUAAUCUUCUUUCAACGUAUAUGCAGAUACUUUGGUAUGAGACUUGCCUUAUAAACAGGCCCAAAUCCACCCUCUCCAAGCUUGUUUGAGAGAUUGAAAUCUUGAGUUGCACUUUUAAGUUCCGAAUAAGUAAAUGUGUAAGGCUUUAUUUCCAUACUAAGUAGCUCUGCAAGAAGAAGAAAAGAACAGUUCUUAAAAUGAAGCAAUCUGAAAGAUAAAUAUUCAAGUUUGAUGGUGACAGAGAGCCAAAACAUUUCAGCCCAAGGGCGCUCGUUUGGAUUUACAUCUAUACCUUCAUCAUCAGUGUAAGGCUUUCUUCUUUUUCGUAUGAUGAAGAUACCAAGACCCGCAAGGAUGCUCAAAAGUCCUAAGCCAACAAUGACACCGACAAUAAUACCAGUCUUGUUCUUUCCCUUUGAUGGUGGCUUAUUAUCCACAGUUGGUCUAAAAUCUGAGCAGCAAUAUGUAACAAUUACUUAGGUAUUUACUCACAUUAGAGAGUGAAAAUCACUAUUGUGUGUUACCUGGCGCUGCACUGACUGCCGAUAUUAUUGGCCCAUAAGCCCCCUGAAUAGGAAUACAACAUGUUCCUUUUCCAGCCCAGAAAAGAUGAACUUCGAUGUAAUUUUCUGUCACAUUUGCUUUAUAUACUUUAUGAACUGCCCUAUUAGUAGAGCCACCAGCUGUUCUGAGUACAUCAAAAUCCUUUUCCACAAGUCUUCCCUGAAAAAGAUACAUUUUACAGUUCGUAAGAACCAAUGUCGGAGGAAGAUUAUCUACAGCUUGAUAAAGUGGUGCAGACCUGGACAUAAAUGUCAAAUCGUCGUCUUCCAAGCCCUUUCCAAGAGUUAGAAGCUUCCAUUUGUAUUUCAGCAAACUGAAGAGUUACGGUAUAGCCUCCAUUCUCGAGCCCCAGGCCAUAAUACCUUAGGGAAGAUGCAGAAAGUCUUGCUGUCUGAAAAAGCUCCGAGUCUGAAGUGUUGGUAAAUUGCGAUAGUGAAGAAGCUAUAUAUGCAUUACUGCUACUUCCGGCAAAAAGACCGAUGCUACUAGCUGCCCAUCUUCUAGCAGCAUUCACGAAAAACGAAGAUGGUCCAAGAUCCGCGUCGUCUUUCUCAAAUAGUGCCCUGCUAACGGACCUUUUAUCCGGUCCUCCGCAGUUGAUUGAAAAGUUGUAAUCUAAGACACCAAUCAUUAGAGAAAUCUUAUAUGAGUGUUUUUAUUUGCAAUCAAUGCUCAUGUGUUUUUGUUACACUUACAGAUUCCUUUGCCUCGAUUGCAAGGGAAGUUCUUUUGCAGACAAUUCAGUCCUGAUAAAACCCUUUUAACAAAUAGAAAAACGACUUGAGAAAGAAAUGGCAAGUCGUUUAUCCUAUUGCAAAUAAAAAAAAGGGAAACAUAUCAAAUCACCUGUUGUCAAGACCUUCCAGUGUGAAGUUGUUAGCAACCAGGUUACUGCACAAAUAAUAUACAGUUUUGUUUUAAUAUAUUCCCUUGAAAUAUGAAUAUAAAUAAGGAAUUUUCUGAGAAUUGAAAAAUAUAGUGACUAUAAGUUGAUAGAUAGCCUUUUCACUUACAAUUUCGAGUUUGGUAAGCUGACCCACGAAGGAAGAAUUCCAGACAAAUUAUUGUACGACACAUCACUAUAAGUACAAAGAACAAUAAUUAGUGUCUAUAGAACAUGUUAUAUAUUCCGAACCAGUAUGAAACUUAAGUCGGUAUCAGGAGGACCUGUUAAACCCUCUAAAAUAAUAAGGAAUAAGAUGAAACAAUUAGGUUUUGGUUACUCACAUAUUGCUUAACGACUGACUCUUUUGAGUGGGCAAGGAACCAUUCAACGUGUUGUUUCCUAAAAACCUGAUAUAUAGACAACAAAUUUCCCCACAAUGAUUUGAAUGGACCAAAAGAAGACCAAAAAGACACAGAAAAUAUAUCAUCUUACAAGUGAGUAAGUCGAGUUAAGUUGAAAAGUGAAGACGGUAUUGGUCCAUGUAGUUUGUUGAAGCUUAAAUCACUGGAAAACAGACAUGAAUUAAACCAUUCCUGUUUAACAGCAAAGACAGUUCCAUCGAACAUAUGUACUUACACUUGUUGCAGGCUUGAGUAGUCUCCAAUAUCAGAUGGUAUUUCCCCUGUGAGAUUGUUGUUCCUCAAUACUCUGCGGCAUAGAUCAUCAGUGUUAAAUACACGGAGGGAGAGAGAAACAGUACGUAUAUACAAUUCUUUAGUAUUAAUUUUUUUUUUUAUAUGUGCUAUUGUUUGUUCCUUUUUGCAUAUAUAUAAGUUGUAUGUUUUUUUGCUUUUGUUCAUGCAAAUGGAGAAUUUUCUUUAUGCUAACAUGUUUUUAGCAAAGACAAAUUUAACGGAAUUAUAUUAACUUAGUCAUGAGCAAAUAGACCGAACUCGAUAAUUCGAACCUCAUCCGAUAGAAUGGUACGAGUCGGAUUUGGAUCUUGCUAAGAAACUGAUUAGAUCUUUAGAAUUGGUAUUAUGGGUGUUCGGAUCAGUAGUCAGUAUAGUAUAUAUCUGAAAUCCGAUCGAGUAUAUUUAUAAUCCGAGUUCAUAUUCUACUCAAAUUACUUUUUUUUUCUCAUUUCAUAACUCAAUUCAAGCAGUCUCCAUAAAUCAUGAUAUUCUUUCUACAUAUCAUUUUGUAAUGUUAUUCUCAUAUAUUCACUCCAAUUUCUCUUAUUCAUUCGGUGAUUUAAAAAUCUGAAACCCUAAAUAUAGGAUUUUAUAUAGUUUUUCCGAUUCUUCAAAAUGAAAACACAAAAUUAUGGAUUCCAAUUAUCUCCUCCUUCAGAGACUUCAAGGAAUCAUUUACAUGUACUCGUAAUUCUUCUUUGUACUUGAUAUGUAUAUGAUAUCAUGAAUUAAUCGAUCAUUUUUUAGUUCGGGUUUAUUGAGUUCGAUUUGUUAAACAAUCAUUUUGAACUUUGUUCGAACCAAUACACUUUGUUCUGUGUUCCUUUCUUUGUAGUUUACAAGGUUUGGGAGUUUAUUUUGAAACGUGUAUAUGAUCUGUUUUAGCUCAACAUUCUCAUUACUUAGGUUCGUGUUCGUGUUAGUAUGUGGUUUGUUGUUAGUUGGUUAUUUUUUAUACCAAAUUUGUUAUUCUUUGUUGUUAACAUAAUGUUUUGUACAAAAGUUAUCGUUAAGAAUUAUGUUAGUUAUUGUUAAGUUGAGUUUUGUACUUCUUCAUUGUUAGCAUAGUGUUUUGUAUAUGAGUUAUCGUUAAUAUUUAUGACUAGUUAGCAAAAGUUCUUAUACGAACAAGUUCACAUUUUAACUUAGGACCAAACUCAAAGUUUUCGAGGUGCAACCAGUUUUCAUAUGAUUUGCUAACCCCAAACUGAAGCCAAGUAACUUCGAACUAAAACCGAAUCAAACUUUUAAGUAUCUGAAUGGGAUAAAAAAAUUAUGCCUUCAAAAACUCGAACCAAACAUGACUGGACACCAGAUUGUCUAGCUAGAUAAACUGAUCAACUAGAUCCAUUUCUGUUUUGUUUCUAGAGUUUCUAAGAGUUAAGAAGGUAAAAUCAGAGCACAGUUCAUAGACACUGAAUUCUUGCAUUGAGUUAAUUUUAAAUUCUUUAUCCAUAUGGACAACGAUUUGUAAGCUAUAAAGUAUACAGUUCUCACUUACAAUGGACCUCAAAUACACAUUCUUUCUUUCAGUGGCCCAUAGAACAAAAUAUAUCUCAACUUCACCACAACACAAAUAUCACAUUAAAAAGAAGAAAAAAGUAGAGCUAAAAUAUUUAUCCAAUAAAAAAAUGAAAUAUGUUUCUCCAAUCAAGGAAGAAGAUAUUGAACUCGUAUAGAAGCAUCACCAUGGCCAACAGAGAAGAGAUAUUGUCAUCUUCCAACAUUGAUCUUGGCUCCAAGCAUUGGAAGAGAGUCGGUGUUUCCGGGCGAUAUCUUGGAGCUAGAAGUGUCUGUCUCUUUGGUUUGAAAGCCAGAGGAAGUGGUGAUAUCAUCAUAUCUCCAGUCAGUUAGGUAGCCUGGCUUGGAAGUGACAUCACUGACCUCAACAUCCCCCGACAACAUAGCCACCACUCGUGACAUUGGUGGUCUCAAGGAAUGAGAUGCUUGUGUGCAUAACAGAGCAACGCCAAUCACUCGUUUCACUUCUUCAACAUUGAAUUCACUUAGCCUAUCAUCUAUUAGUUCAACUUCACGGCCUUUCUCGUGUAGAUUCCA